rnacentral:rRNA from 1 species
GACGAACGCUGGCGGCGUGCUUAACACAUGCAAGUCGAACGGAAAGGCCCUGCUUGCAGGGUACUCGAGUGGCGAACGGGUGAGUAACACGUGGGUGAUCUGCCCUGCACUUCGGGAUAAGCCUGGGAAACUGGGUCUAAUACCGGAUAGGAGCCAUUUUUAGUGUGAUGGUUGGAAAGUUUUUUCGGUGUAGGAUGAGCUCGCGGCCUAUCAGCUUGUUGGUGGGGUAAUGGCCUACCAAGGCGGCGACGGGUAGCCGGCCUGAGAGGGUGGACGGCCACAUUGGGACUGGGAUUCGGCCCAGACUCCUACGGGAGGCAGCAGUGGGGAAUAUUGCACAAUGGGCGCAAGCCUGAUGCAGCGACGCCGCGUGGGGGAUGACGGGCUUCGGGUUGUAAACUCCUUUCGCUAGGGACGAAGCUUUUUGUGACGGUACCUAGAUAAGAAGCACCGGCUAACUACGUG